rnacentral:tRNA from 1 species
UAGGUUGUGGUUCAGCGGUAGAGCACUCACCUAGCACGUGCGAGGCCCUGGGUUCCAUCCUCAACACCAUAU